rnacentral:rRNA from 1 species
AUUGAACGCUGGCGGCAGGCCUAACACAUGCAAGUCGAGCGGAUGAAGGGAGCUUGCUCCUGGAUUCAGCGGCGGACGGGUGAGUAAUGCCUAGGAAUCUGCCUGGUAGUGGGGGAUAACGUCCGGAAACGGGCGCUAAUACCGCAUACGUCCUGAGGGAGAAAGUGGGGGAUCUUCGGACCUCACGCUAUCAGAUGAGCCUAGGUCGGAUUAGCUAGUUGGUGGGGUAACGGCCUACCAAGGCGACGAUCCGUAACUGGGCUGAGAGGAUGAUCAGUCACACUGGAACUGAGACACGGUCCAGACUCCUACGGGAGGCAGCAGUGGGGAAUAUUGGACAAUGGGCGAAAGCCUGAUCCAGCCAUGCCGCGUGUGUGAAGAAGGUCUUCGGAUUGUAAAGCACUUUAAGUUGGGAGGAAGGGCAGUAAGUUAAUACCUUGCUGUUUUGACGUUACCAACAGAAUAAGCACCGGCUAACUUCGUG